GAAUUAGGCCACAUUAUUUGGCAAUAAAUUAAGCCAUUUGCAAAUUCAUGUGCAUCUGUCUCAUCGGAGACUGCAGAAGCGCUGUCAAAAUAUCAACUCGUCCGAUUCAAAUGCGCUCAUGGCUCUUAAAGGGGAUGGGAGCUGGCACUCUCAUUGGUUUGUUGCACGUUACGCCCAAACCACACCUACGGGUAAUUAGGCUGCUUCAGACCAACCCUUUUGACGCUUGCGCCGCGGCGCAAGCCUGAGUUCACCAGAUGUGUUUUAAUAUGGGUAGGUCAAAAGGUCAAGCCGCAUAAUAGAUUUAUAGCCUUUUUUAACAUUAAACAAAUAGUAUAAAAUCAAAAGGUGGGUUUUUGGAAAAAAGAAGCUUUGUGUUAUGUGUGGGGCAGUUAGCUGAGUUCACCAGAUGUGUUUUGAUAUGGGUAAGUCAAAAGGUCAAGCCGCAUAAUAGAUUUAUAGCCUUUUUUAACAUUAAAAAAAUAGUAUAAAAUCAAAAG
ensembl:lncRNA